UCGCGUAUCGACCGCGACCCC
rnacentral:rRNA from 3 species